rnacentral:rRNA from 2 species
AAUGGCUGGUGUUCUAACGUGGGCCCCUGACCGGGGUUGCGGACAGUGUCUGGUGGGUAGUUUGACUGGGGCGGUCUCCUCCUAAAGAGUAACGGAGGAGCACGAAGGUUGGCUAAUCCUGGUCGGACAUCAGGAGGUUAGUGCAAUGGCAUAAGCCAGCUUGACUGCGAGCGUGACGGCGCGAGCAGGUGCGAAAGCAGGUCAUAGUGAUCCGGUGGUUCUGAAUGGAAGGGCCAUCGCUCAACGGAUAAAAGGUACUCCGGGGAUAACAGGCUGAUACCGCCCAAGAGUUCAUAUCGACGGCGGUGUUUGGCACCUCGAUGUCGGCUCAUCACAUCCUGGGGCUGAAGUAGGUCCCAAGGGUAUGGCUGUUCGCCAUUUAAAGUGGUACGCGAGCUGGGUUUAGAACGUCGUGAGACAGUUCGGUCCCUAUCUGCCGUGGGCGCUGGAAGAUUGAGGGGGGCUGCUCCUAGUACGAGAGGACCGGAGUGGACGCAUCACUGGUGUUCGGGUUGUCAUGCCAAUGGCACUGCCCGGUAGCUACAUGCGGAAGAGAUAAGUGCUGAAAGCAUCUAAGCACGAAACUUGCCCCGAGAUGAAUCUUCCCUGAGCCUUUAAGGCUCCUGAAGGAACGUUGAAGACGACGACGUUGAUAGGCCGGGUGUGUAAGCGCAGCGAUGCGUUGAGCUAACCGGUACUAAUGAACCGUGAGGCUUAACCUUACAAC